GGUAUCAUAAUGGCACAUUCGGAAGGAUUCGAGAUCGGAUAAGAGGGUGGUUUUCAUGAGUGUUCCUCAAAAGUUCUUCAGACCUCGGAAGCAAAAAAUUCUACGCCGAAAUUUGCUGAACUAAUGAGAAAAUAAAUUGGAAAAGUGUGGUGCAGACUUGGGUCUCUGAUGCAUCUCACGCAAAAAAUGAUUUUUGAUGCAUUAUAUUCGGUUGUUUUCUGGAAAGAACUUUGAGCAAGAGUUAGAGAAAUUAUUUUAGCAAGAUUUUAUUGGAGGCUAGUAUCUUAAAUUUUGCUUCCCAGUAGUGGCCCUAUUAUAUUGUAACUUUUUUAACGAAUAAAUUUUGUUUGUUAUUACUGUAGUGUUCAACCUGUAUGUAACAAAAGAAACAAUGCGAAAUUUAGAAAGAGAAUUCAAAUUUAAAGAGAACGGAAAGGAGCUUUA